rnacentral:rRNA from 1 species
CGGGCGUAGCAAUACGUCAGCGGCAGACGGGUGAGUAACGCGUGGGAACGUACCUUUUGGUUCGGAACAACACAGGGAAACUUGUGCUAAUACCGGAUAAGCCCUUACGGGGAAAGAUUUAUCGCCGAAAGAUCGGCCCGCGUCUGAUUAGCUAGUUGGUAGGGCAAUGGCCUACCAAGGCGACGAUCAGUAGCUGGUCUGAGAGGAUGAUCAGCCACAUUGGGACUGAGACACGGCCCAA